UUGGCUUCGACCUUUUUUCCUUUAUUUUUCUCUUCUGGUAUAGCUGGACUUCUUCCCCGAGUGGUGGUGGAUUGGCGAGGGUUUCACCGGAGCGAGGUCGAGCAGCGCAUCUCGAUAUGGUGGCUUUGGCCACUUUUUCUUGUGGCGGUGGGGCUGGCGAUGAAGAGGCGGUGGGGCUAGCAAUGAGAGGCGGCGGCGACUCCGGAUCUGAAAGAUUGGGCAUGGUGGCCUGGCCACCAGUGCGGCGUUCCUUUCAAAGAUGUGGUCUGCUUUGUUAGAACUGGCGGUGGCCUUGGUGUUGGCUGUGUUAAUCGAGGCGAUGGAUUGUGGGUAGGUUGUCAGCGCAGCAUCAUCGAUCGUGGACUUGCAGGAGCAAUGGUGGAGGGCGGCGACUUCCGAAUGAUGGUGCUCAAAUCCAAUGUCAGAGCAAAGCAAAUUUGCUCAGCAUGAAUGGGCUUCCUCUCUCAGUCAAGCUUGGGGAGCAGCUUAAGUUUCUUCCUGAUCAAAUGAAAGAUAUGUUCAACAUAAAAGGGGCAAGAACUUUCCACUUUGUGUGAAG